rnacentral:lncRNA from 1 species
CGCACAUAAAAUAUUAGGCUUUUUCGUAAUUUUUCCGUUUUGCCAAUUUCGACCCCUCAGCGAUCAUUUCGCGAUUUUCGAAGAUCCGUCCACCGAAUUUUUGAUCGGAUCACGCCAGCGCGUUCAACACGACUGGUGCAUCGAAUCUAGCAUUUUGUUUCGUCCGCUGAUUCAUGAUGAAACCCAUCCCCUCUCCAAUAUUCCAAACACCACAGAUCUAUAAAUAUAUACAAAUCUAAUAAACUCACUUUAUCUCGAAAACCGUGCAUCAAAUCUAAAAUUCGUCAGUGCCGUUGGUUCCAGAAUAGCCGAACCGUUCAAAACAAGCUAUUGGAUUGCUAUAAUCGGAGUCCAAUACGCACCAGAAGCUAUCUCCACUCAUUGGCUUCUCCGAAAAAUCAGAGUUACUAUUCACUUUAAGUCAUUACUAAAGUUCGCGUAACUCCUCCAUCGUAACUCGUUUUCUCUUGAAACUUGACGAGUGUUUAUGUAAUUAAAUUACACACAAAAACAUCGUCAACACAGAGUUUAUCUGUACAGCAAAAAUCUCAGUCCUUACAUAAUGGGUGGAACUAGAUGGCAAGGCAAGAACGAUGUUACUAUCUCUCUCCUCUCUCUACACGUGAACCCCUCUCUCUCUUUUCCCUCUAGUAACCCACCCCCUCUCUCUUUUUUUUUCUCUGACAACCUCCCACUAGCUCUCUCUCUCUCUGGUUCCCCUACCAGAUCCAUUCUUUUUUUUUUUUCUCCCUCUAUCUCUCUUCCUCUUUUCCCUUCUCUCUGGUGGUGGUCUCUAUUCCUAUCCGACGCUCCGACGACACCACGACACGAGUCGUGCGCACCUCCGCGCCAACGCCUUCCGGGUCGCGUGCUACAAUUUCGACCCCGGACGCGCCCCUCCGCACCG